rnacentral:rRNA from 1 species
GACGAACGCUGGCGGCGUGCUUAACACAUGCAAGUCGAACGGAAAGGCCCUGCUUUUGUUGGUUUCUCGAUUGGCGAACGGGUGAGUAACACGUGAGUAACCUGCCCUUGACUUUGGGAUAACUUCAGGAAACUGGGGCGAAUAUCGGAGAUGAUCUCCUGCAGCAUGUUGGUGAUUGGAGAGUGUCGGCGGUGGUGGAUGUUUUCGAGGCUUAUCAGCUGGUUUGUGAGGUAGUUACUUACCAAGGCUUUGACGGGUAGCCUGCCUGAGAGGGUGACCGGCAACCUUGGGACUACGAUAGGGAGCAGAAUCCUAUCGGCCGCAGCAGUGGGGAACCUUGCAGAACGGGAGGACGCCAGAUGCAGAAACGCUGCGUGCGGGAUGCCGGCCUUCGGGUUGUAAACAGAUUUCUACUGUGCUGAAGAGUGAGUGACGGUAAUGGGUAAAGAAGCCACGGCUAACUACGUG